rnacentral:rRNA from 1 species
UACGUAGGGGGCAAGCGUUGUCCGGAUUUAUUGGGCGUAAAGAGCGUGUAGGCGGCCAGGUAGGUCAGCUGUGAAAACUCGAGGCUCAACCUCGAGACGUCGGUUGAAACCACCUGGCUAGAGUCCGGAAGAGGAGAGUGGAAUUCCUGGUGUAGCGGUGAAAUGCGCAGAUAUCAGGAAGAACACCCGUGGCGAAGGCGGCUCUCUGGGACGGUACUGACGCUGAGGAGCGAAAGCGUGGGGAGCGAACAGG